ACUGCGUAGAGCAGAGGGUAAGAUGAAUGAGCCACUGUCGGCUGAUGCUCACGUGCACGAGAACU
rnacentral:snoRNA from 1 species